GAGGCUGUAGCUCAGUCUGGUUUUAGAGCACUGCUCUGAUAGACUCAAACACAGUUUGGUCUGCCGAACUCGUUUGACUUCAGCAAGGCAGGGGUCCACAGUUCAAAUCUGUGCAGCCUCA
rnacentral:tRNA from 1 species